CAUCCACACAAGGCAUGUCAAAGGACAGUAAGGCAUUUCCCAAGUUAAAUGUAAAACAGCAACAAAGAGAAAAGAGAAGACAAAGAAACCAAAGAAUGCAUGGUGCACACAACACCAGCAGAUACAGAACAGAUGCAGAUUUCAGAGAAGAGCAAAAAGAAACUUUCCGCCUAAAGUAUCAACAUGACCCUGCCUUCAGGAGAAAGCAAAAAGAAACGUUGUGCCACAGGUAUCAACAUGACCCUGCCUUCAGGAGAAAGCAAAAAGAAACGUUGUGCCACAGGUAUCAACAUGACCCUGCCUUCA